GACAAGUUGGCCGAGUGGUUAAGGCGAUGGACUACUAAUCCAUUGUGCUCUGCACGCGUGCGUGGGUUUGAAUUCCAUCCUUGUCG
rnacentral:tRNA from 1 species